ACACAGUCAAUGCAUAGCUUAUUCAGCAUGUGUAUUUCUAGAUUCUGGUGUGUAUCUCCAUCCACCUUGCAUUUUCUGAUGGUUUUUGCCGCUCUAUCUCUCUCCCUCAUUCUCUCCUUCUCUUGAUCCUUCUCGUCAUCAUCUCCCACUGGUGGUGAGCGUACCGUGGUACGUAGAAAUCGGUAACGACCUCCUCAUGGCUCGUGCCAUAUGCCCCGGCUGUUGAUGGAGGUAUCGCGUUGAUUGUUUGGCUCUAACUACGUCGUCUGGGGUCGUUUGUUGGCAGUUCUCAUUCUUAGAUAUCUUAAAUCAUUACAGACUUGAGAAAGGUUGAGUUUUGUAAUAUAGUUGGUCUCUCUCAUUCCUAUUCAUAGUGGAUGUUGCAUUGGAUUUAUACAUUCAUUUAUGUAAUAUUGUUUGGAUUGUACACUGUGAUGAAGUAGCAUUGUCCUUCAACUGGCAAAAAUGCUAUUGAUCUGAUGUAGGAGGAAGAGGAGAGAAGGGAUCACCAUGCUGAUCAAGGAGUAUCGAAUCCCUCUACCAUUGAGUGUAGAAGAGUAUAGGAUUGCUCAGCUCUAUAUGAUACAG